rnacentral:rRNA from 1 species
CCCUUAGAUGUUCUGGGCCGCACGCGUGCUACACUGAACGGUUCAAUGGGUGAGGUAGUGCGAAAGCAUGACCCAAUCUCUAAAUCCGUUCGUGCUGGGGAUAGAAGCUUGCAAUUAUCCUUCUUGAACGAGGAAUACCUUGUAGGCGUGAGUCAUCAUCUCGCACCGAAUACGUCCCUGCCCUUUGUACACACCGCCCGUCGCUCCUACCGAUUGAGUGGUCCGGUGAGGCUUUGGGAGGACUGGAUGGAUUGUGUUUCACAAACUAUUCGGGCUGAACUUAGUCAAACCUUAUCACUUAGAGGAAGGAGAAGUCGUAACA